AACGAACGCUGGCGGCAGGCUUAACACAUGCAAGUCGAGCGCCCCGCAAGGGGAGCGGCAGACGGGUGAGUAACGCGUGGGAAUCUACCCAUCUCUACGGAAUAACGCAUGGAAACGUGUGCUAAUACCGUAUACGUCCUUCGGGAGAAAGAUUUAUCGGAGAUGGAUGAGCCCGCGUUGGAUUAGCUAGUUGGUGGGGUAAAGGCCUACCAAGGCGACGAUCCAUAGCUGGUCUGAGAGGAUGAUCAGCCACACUGGGACUGAGACACGGCCCAGACUCCUACGGGAGGCAGCAGUGGGGAAUAUUGGACAAUGGGCGCAAGCCUGAUCCAGCCAUGCCGCGUGAGUGAUGAAGGCCCUAGUGUUGUAAAGCUCUUUCACCGGUGAAGAUAAUGACGAUAACCGGAGAAGAAGCCCCGGCUAACUUCGUGCCAGCCGCCGCGGUAAGAC
rnacentral:rRNA from 1 species